rnacentral:rRNA from 1 species
UUAGCCAGUUGGUGGGGUAACGGCUCACCAAAGCAACGAUCAGUAGCCGGCCUGAGAGGGUGAACGGCCACACUGGAACUGAGACACGGUCCAGACUCCUACGGGAGGCAGCAGUGGGGAAUAUUGCACAAUGGGGGAAACCCUGAUGCAGCAACGCCGCGUGAGCGAUGAAGGUUUUCGAAUCGUAAAGCUCUGUCCUAAGGGAAGAUAAUGACGGUACCUUAGGAGGAAGCCCCGGCUAACUACGUGCCAGCAGCCGCGGUAAUACAUAGGGGGCAAGCGUUAUCCGGAAUUAUUGGGCAUAAAGGGUGCGUAGGCGGCAAGUUAAGUUUAAGGUAUAAGCUCAUGGCUCAACCAUGGGAGGCUUUAGAAACUGGCUAGCUAGAGUGCAGUAGAGGCAAGUGGAAUUCCAUGUGUAGCGGUAAAAUGCGUAAAUAUAUGGAGGAACACCAGUAGCGAAGGCGGCUUGCUGGGCUGUAACUGACGCUAAGGCACGAAAGCGUGGGGAGCAAACAGGAUUAGAUACCCUGGUAGUCCACGCCGUAAACGAUGAGUACUAAGUGUCGGGGGAAUCUCGGUGCUGAAGCAAAU